UCGCUUCUUCUUUUCACUCUCUU
rnacentral:siRNA from 1 species